rnacentral:rRNA from 1 species
UACGUAGGGUGCAAGCGUUAAUCGGAAUUACUGGGCGUAAAGCGUGCGCAGGCGGUUGUGUAUGACAGAUGUGAAAUCCCCGGGCUCAACCUGGGAACUGCACUUGUGACUGCACAGCUGGAGUGCGGCAGAGGGGGAUGGAAUUCCGCGUGUAGCAGUGAAAUGCGUAGAUAUGCGGAGGAACACCGAUGGCGAAGGCAAUCCCCUGGGCCUGCACUGACGCUCAUGCACGAAAGCGUGGGGAGCAAACAGG